rnacentral:rRNA from 1 species
AGUGAACGCUGGCGGCGUGCCUAAUACAUGCAAGUCGAACGAAGUGGCGCACGGGUGGGUAAUAUAUAGUUAAUCUGCCCUACACAGAGGAACAACAGAUGGAAAAGACUGCUAAUCCCUAAUAGUGUAGGAUGAGACUAUAUCGUAUCAGCUAGUUGGUAAGGUGAUGGAUUACCAAGGGUAUGACGCGUAACUGGUCUGAGAGGAUGAUCAGGCACAUUGGACCGGAGGCACGGUCCAGACGCCUACGGGAGGUAGCAGGAAGGUAUUGUGCGCAAUGGGGUAAUCCGUGACGGAGCAACGCGGCGUGGAGGAUGACACUUUUCGGAGCGUAAACUCCGUUUAUCAGGAACGCGGUACCUGAGGAAUAAGCACCGGCUAACUCCGUGCCAGCAGCCGCGGUAAUAC